GGGCCGUUAGCUCAAGUGGUAGAGCAACGGACUCUUAAUCCGUAGGUUCUGGGUUCGAGUCCCGGACGGCCCACCA
rnacentral:tRNA from 1 species